AUGCUGGGAGGCUGGAGGACUAGCGAGGAGGAGUUGAGAGAACGGAGCAGACGCCAUGGCGACCAACAUCGAGCAGAUUUUUAGGUCUUUCGUGGUCAGUAAAUUCCGGGAAAUUCAACAGGAGCUUUCCAGCGGAAGGAAUGAAGGCCAGCUCAAUGGUGAAACAAAUACACCCAUUGAAGGAAACCAGGCGGGUGACGCAGCUGCCUCUGCCAGGAGUCUACCAAAUGAAGAAAUAGUGCAAAAGAUAGAGGAAGUACUUUCUGGGGUCUUAGAUACAGAACUUCGAUAUAAGCCAGACUUGAAAGAGGCCUCCAGGAAAAGUAGAUGCGUAUCUGUACAAACAGAUCCUACUGAUGAAAUUCCCACUAAAAAGUCAAAGAAGCAUAAAAAGCACAAAAACAAAAAGAAGAAAAAGAAGAAAGAAAAGGAAAAAAAAUAUAAAAGACAACCAGAAGAAUCUGAGUCAAAGACAAAGUCUCAUCAUGAUGGGAACAUAGAUUUAGAAUCUGAUUCCUUUCUCAAGUUUGAUUCUGAACCUUCAGCUAUGGUGCUGGAGCUUCCUACAAGAGCGUUUGGCCUAUCUGAGACCAAUGAAUCCCCUGCAGUUGUGCUAGAACCUCCUUUAGUAUCAAUGGAGGUAUCAGAGCCACACGUCUUAGAAACUCUGAAGCCAGCUACAAAAACUUCAGAACUGUCAGUUGCAUCUACAUCAGUAAUCUCAGAGCAGUCUGUGGCAGUAAUGCCAGAACCAGCCAUGACAAAGAUUCUGGAUUCCUUUGCAACAGCACCAGUGCCUACUACAACAGUGGUGUCGAAGUCAUCUGAGCCAGUCGUAACAAUGUCAGUGGAGUAUCAGAUGAAGUCUGUGCUGAAAUCUGUGGAGAGCACGUCUCUAGAGCCAUCAAAGAUCAUGUUGGUAGAGCCCCCAAUAGCAAAAGUGUUAGAGCCUUCAGAAACCCUUGUGGUAUCUUCAGAGACACCUACUGAGGUGUACCCUGAGCCAAGCACAUCAACAACAAUGGAUUUUCCAGAGUCAUCUGCAAUUGAAGCGCUAAGAUUGCCAGAGCAGCCUGUAGACGCACCAUCGGAGAUUGCAGAUUCAUCCAUGACAAGACCGCAGGAGUUGCCGGAGCUGCCUAAGACCACAGCGUUGGAGCUGCAGGAGUCGUCGGUGGCCUCAGCGAUGGAGUUGCCGGGGCCACCUGCGACCUCCAUGCUGGAGUUGCAGGGGCCCCCUGUGACUCCAGUGCUGGAGUUACCUGGGCCCUCUGCUACCCCGGUGCCAGAGUUGCCAGGGCCCCUUUCUACCCCAGUGCCUGAGUUGCCAGGGCCCCCUGCGACAGCAGUGCCUGAGUUGCCAGGGCCCUCUGUGACACCAGUGCCACAGUUGUCGCAGGAAUUGCCAGGGCUUCCAGCACCAUCCAUGGGGUUAGAGCCACCACAGGAGGUAUCAGAGCCACCUGUGAUGGCACAGGAGUUGCCAGGGCUGCCUUUGGUGACAGCAGCAGUAGAGUUGCCAGAGCAGCCUGCGGUAACUGUAGCAAUGGAGUUGACCGAACAACCUGUGACGACGACAGAGUUGGAGCAGCCCGUGGGGAUGACAACGGUGGAACAUCCUGGGCAUCCUGAGGUGACAACGGCAACAGGGUUGCUGGGGCAGCCUGAGGCAACGAUGGUGCUGGAGUUGCCAGGACAGCCAGUGGCAACGACAGCGCUGGAGUUGCCGGGGCAGCCUUCGGUGACUGGGGUGCCAGAGUUGCCAGGGCUGCCUUCGGCAACUAGGGCACUGGAGUUGUCGGGGCAGCCUGUGGCAACUGGGGCACUAGAGUUGCCUGGGCCGCUCAUGGCAGCUGGGGCACUGGAGUUCUCGGGGCAGUCUGGGGCAGCUGGAGCACUGGAGCUUUUGGGGCAGCCUCUGGCAACAGGGGUGCUGGAGUUGCCAGGGCAGCCUGGGGCGCCAGAGUUGCCAGGGCAGCCUGUGGCAACUGUGGCGCUGGAGAUCUCUGUUCAGUCUGUGGUGACAACAUCGGAGCUGUCAACGAUGACCGUGUCGCAGUCCCUGGAGGUGCCCUCGACGACAGCGCUGGAAUCCUAUAAUACGGUAGCACAGGAGCUGCCUACUACAUUAGUGGGGGAGACUUCUGUAACAGUAGGAGUGGAUCCCUUGAUGGCCCCAGAAUCCCAUAUAUUAGCUUCUAACACCAUGGAGACCCAUAUAUUAGCAUCCAACACCAUGGAUUCCCAAAUGCUAGCGUCCAACACCAUGGACUCCCAGAUGCUAGCAUCCAACACCAUGGACUCCCAGAUGUUAGCAUCUAGCACCAUGGACUCCCAGAUGUUAGCCAGUAGUACCAUGGACUCCCAGAUGUUAGCAACUAGCUCCAUGGACUCCCAAAUGUUAGCAACUAGCACUAUGGACUCCCAGAUGUUAGCAACCAGCUCCAUGGACUCCCAGAUGUUAGCAACCAGCUCCAUGGACUCCCAGAUGUUAGCAACCAGCUCCAUGGACUCCCAGAUGUUAGCAACCAGCUCCAUGGACUCCCAGAUGUUAGCAACUAGCUCCAUGGACUCCCAGAUGUUAGCAACCAGCACCAUGGACUCCCAGAUGUUAGCAACCAGCUCUAUGGAUUCCCAGAUGUUAGCAUCUGGCACUAUGGACUCUCAAAUGUUAGCUUCUGGCACCAUGGAUGCUCAGAUGUUAGCGUCUGGUACCAUGGAUGCCCAGAUGUUAGCAUCUAGUACCCAAGAUUCUGCUAUGUUGGGUUCAAAAUCUCCUGAUCCCUAUAGGUUAGCUCAGGAUCCUUAUAGGUUAGCUCAGGAUCCCUAUAGGUUGGGCCAUGACCCCUAUAGAUUAGGUCAUGAUGCUUACAGGUUAGGACAGGACCCUUAUAGAUUAGGCCACGAUCCCUACAGACUAACUCCUGAUCCCUACAGGAUGUCACCUAGACCCUAUAGGAUAGCACCCAGGUCCUAUAGAAUAGCACCCAGGCCAUAUAGGUUAGCACCUAGACCCCUGAUGUUAGCAUCUAGACGUUCUAUGAUGAUGUCCUAUGCUGCAGAACGUUCCAUGAUGUCAUCUUACGAACGCUCUAUGAUGUCUUACGAGCGGUCUAUGAUGUCCCCUAUGGCUGAGCGCUCUAUGAUGUCAGCCUACGAGCGCUCUAUGAUGUCAGCCUAUGAGCGCUCUAUGAUGUCCCCUAUGGCUGAGCGCUCUAUGAUGUCCGCUUAUGAACGCUCCAUGAUGUCAGCUUAUGAGCGCUCCAUGAUGUCCCCAAUGGCUGAUCGAUCUAUGAUGUCAAUGGGUGCCGACCGAUCUAUGAUGUCGUCAUACUCUGCUGCUGACCGGUCUAUGAUGUCAUCGUACUCUGCAGCUGACCGAUCUAUGAUGUCAUCUUAUACUGCUGAUCGUUCAAUGAUGUCUAUGGCUGCUGAUUCUUAUACUGAUUCUUACACUGACACAUAUACAGAGGCAUAUAUGGUGCCACCUUUGCCUCCUGAAGAGCCCCCAACAAUGCCACCGUUGCCACCUGAGGAGCCACCAAUGACACCACCGUUGCCUCCUGAGGAACCACCAGAGGGUCCAGCAUUGCCCACUGAGCAGUCAGCAUUAACAGCUGAAAAUACUUGGUCUACAGGGGUGCCAUCAUUACCUUCUGAAGAGUCUGUAUCACAACCUGAGCCUCCUGUGAGUCAAAGUGAGAUUUCAGAGCCUUCAGCAGUGCCUACUGAUUAUUCAGUGUCAGCAUCAGAUCCCUCAGUGUUAGUAUCAGAGGCUGCUGUGACUGUUCCAGAACCACCGCCAGAGCCAGAAUCUUCAAUUACAUCAACACCUGCAGAGUCUGCAGUAGUAGAAGAAGAACAUGAAGUUGUUCCAGAGAGACCAGUGACUUGUAUGGCAUCCAAUACUUCCACAAUGUCAGCUGAACCAACUAUGUUAACAUCAGAGCCUCCUGUUAUGUCAGAGACAGCAGAAACAUUUGAUUCUAUGAGAACUUCAGGACAUGUUGCUUUGGAGGUAUCUACAUCCUUGUUGGAGCCAGCAGUAACUACUCCAGAGCUGGCAGAGAGCAUUCUGGAGCCGGCAGCCAUGGCUGUCCCAGAGUCUUCAGCUGUGACUGUCCUGGAGUCUUCAGCUGUGACUGUCCUGGAGUCUUCGACUGUGACCGUCCUGGAGUCUUCAACUGUGACUGUCCUGGAGCCUUCGGUUGUGACUGUCCCGGAGCCUCCUGUUGUGGCUGAGCCAGAAUAUAUUACCAUUCCUGUGCCAGUUGUUUCUGCCCUGGAGCCUUCUGUGCCUGUCCUGGAACCAAUGGUGUCAGUCCUUCAGCCUGCUAUGAUUGUUUCAGAACCAUCUGUUUCUGUCCAGGAAUCUACUGUGAUGGUUUCAGAGCCUGCUGUCACUGUCUCCGAGCAGACUAAAGUAAUACCGACUGAAGUGGCUAUAGAGUCCACACCAAUGAUACUGGAGUCUAGUAUCAUGUCAUCACAUGUUAUGAAAGGAAUGAAUCUACCCUCUGGUGAUCAAAAUCUUGUUCCAGAGGUGGGCAUGCAGGAGAUUCCAUUGCAUUCAGGUGAAGAGCCACAUGCUGAGGGACACCUGAAAAGUGACUCUUAUGAAAGUGAACAUGGUAUAAGUAUAGACCUUAAUAUAAAUAGUCAUUUAAUUGCUAAAGAGAUGGAACAUGAUACAGUGUGUGCUGUUAGCACUAGUCCUGCUGGGGAAAUUGGUGAAGAGAAAAUUUUGCCCACCUGUGAGACUAAACAGUGCACAGUAUUGGAUACCUACCCUGGUGUUAGUGAAGCUGAUGCAGGAGAAACUUCAUCCUCUACUGAUCCUCUUGCUCAGGAACCUGACGCAACAGGAACUACUAAGGGUAUUGAAUUUAUCACAGCAUCUACUCUCAGUUCAGUUAAUAAAUAUGAUGUUGAAGUAUCUUUAACUACUCAAGAUACUGAACAUGACAUGGUAAUUUCCACCAGUCCUAGUGGUGGUAGUGAAGCUGAUAUUGAAGGGCCUUUGCCUGCCAAAGAUAUUCAUCUUGAUUUACCAUCUAAUAAUAACAUUGUUAGUAAGGAUACAGAAGAACCAUUACCUGUAAAAGAGAGUGACCAGACAUUAGCAGCUCUCCUCAGCCCUAAAGAAAGUAUUGGAGGAGAAAAAGAAGCACCUCUCCCUCCUAAAGAGACAGUGUCUGAUUCAGGAUUUUCUGCCAAUAUUGAGGAUAUUAAUGAAGCAGAUUUAGUGAGACCAUUACUUCCUAAGGACAUGGAACGUCUUACAAGCCUUAGAGCUGGCAUUGAAGGACCUUUACUUGCAAGUGAGGUUGGACGUGACAAAUCUGCUGCCAGUCCAGUUGUAAUUAGUAUGCCAGAAAGAGCUUCUGAGUCGUCUUCAGAGGAAAAAGAUGAUUAUGAAAUUUUUGUAAAAGUUAAGGACACUCAUGAAAAAAGCAAGAAAAAUAAGAACCGUGACAAGGGUGAGAAGGAGAAGAAAAGAGACUCUUCAUUAAGAUCUCGAAGUAAGCGUUCCAAAUCUUCUGAACACAAAUCACGCAAGCGUACCAGUGAAUCUCGUUCUAGAGCAAGGAAGAGAUCAUCUAAGUCCAAGUCUCAUCGCUCUCAAACACGUUCACGGUCACGUUCUAGACGUAGAAGGAGGAGCAGCAGAUCAAGAUCAAAGUCUAGAGGAAGACGAUCUGUAUCAAAGGAGAAGCGCAAAAGAUCCCCAAAGCACAGAUCCAGGUCUAAGGAAAGAAAAAGAAAAAGAUCAAGCUCCAGGGAUAACCGAAAGACAGUCAGAGCUCGAAGUCGAACCCCAAGUCGUCGGAGUCGGAGUCAUACUCCAAGUCGUCGACGAAGGUCUAGAUCUGUGGGUAGAAGAAGGAGCUUUAGCAUUUCCCCCAGCCGCCGGAGCCGCACCCCCAGCCGCCGGAGCCGCACCCCCAGCCGCCGGAGCCGCACCCCCAGCCGUCGGAGCCGCACCCCCAGCCGCCGGAGUCGCACCCCCAGCCGCCGGAGCCGCACCCCCAGCCGCCGGAGAAGAUCAAGGUCUGUGGUAAGAAGACGAAGCUUCAGUAUAUCACCAGUCAGAUUAAGGCGAUCAAGAACACCCUUGAGAAGAAGGUUUAGCAGAUCUCCCAUCCGUCGUAAAAGAUCCCGGUCUUCUGAGAGAGGCAGAUCACCCAAACGUCUGACAGAUUUGGAUAAGGCUCAAUUACUUGAAAUAGCCAAAGCUAAUGCAGCUGCCAUGUGUGCUAAGGCUGGUGUCCCUUUACCGCCAAACCUGAAGCCUGCACCUCCACCUACUAUAGAAGAGAAAGUUGCUAAAAAGUCAGGAGGAGCUACUAUAGAAGAACUAACGGAGAAAUGUAAACAGAUCGCACAGAGUAAAGAAGAUGAUGAUGUAAUAGUGAAUAAACCUCAUGUUUCGGAUGAAGAGGAAGAAGAACCUCCUUUUUAUCAUCAUCCCUUUAAACUCAGUGAACCCAAACCCAUUUUUUUCAAUCUAAAUAUUGCUGCAGCAAAGCCAACUCCACCAAAAAGCCAGGUAACAUUAACAAAAGAAUUCCCUGUAUCAUCUGGAUCUCAACAUCGGAAAAAAGAAGCGGAUAGUGUUUAUGGAGAAUGGGUUCCUGUAGAGAAAAAUGGUGAAGAAAACAAAGAUGAUGAUAAUGUUUUCAGCAGCAAUUUGCCCUCUGAGCCUGUGGACAUCUCUACAGCAAUGAGUGAACGGGCACUUGCUCAGAAGAGACUCAGUGAGAAUGCGUUUGACCUUGAAGCCAUGAGCAUGUUAAAUAGAGCUCAGGAAAGGAUUGAUGCCUGGGCUCAGCUGAACUCUAUUCCUGGCCAGUUCACAGGAAGUACGGGAGUACAGGUUUUGACCCAAGAACAGUUGGCCAAUACCGGUGCCCAAGCCUGGAUUAAAAAGGGCCAAAUCCUUGUAGCUGUCUUCUUGCCCCGGUCAGUGCCAGCCGUACUAUUCACAACACUGCUGCUACCGAGGCCUAGGAUCAGUUCUUAAGAGCAGCCCCGGUAACUGGAGGAAUGGGAGCCGUUUUGAUGAGAAAAAUGGGCUGGAGAGAAGGAGAAGGAUUAGGAAAAAACAAAGAAGGCAAUAAGGAACCCAUCCUAGUUGAUUUUAAGACAGACCGAAAAGGUCUUGUUGCAGUAGGGGAAAGAGCACAAAAGAGGUCUGGGAACUUCUCUGCUGCAAUGAAAGAUCUGUCAGGCAAACAUCCUGUGUCUGCUUUGAUGGAAAUCUGUAAUAAGAGAAGGUGGCAACCACCUGAAUUUCUGUUGGUCCAUGAUAGUGGUCCUGAUCAUCGCAAACAUUUUCUCUUUAGGGUAUUGAGAAAUGGAAGCCCUUACCAGCCCAAUUGUAUGUUUUUCUUGAAUAGGUAUUGAUAAAUGGAAGCGCUUACCAGCCCAGCUUUGCCAGCCCUAAUAAGAAGCAUGCUAAAGCCACAGCAGCUACUGUGGUUCUUCAAGCAAUGGGCCUUGUACCAAAGGACCUCAUGGCUAAUGCCACUUGCUUCAGGAGUGCCUCACGUAGAUAGAUUGAGGUUUUAUAAUAAUCAUUUCAGAUAAUUUUACUCUGCAUCACAAUGUAUUUCCUCUUUAAUGUUGUAAAUAUUUGGCAAUUUAAGACAUUGUGUAAAAAGCAAUCUGUAAAAACAUCUCCAGGCUUUGAUUUUUGUACCAUGGAAAUUGUAUUUAACCAUACAGGGUUUUGGUAUGUUUAUAUUGUUUACCUUAGUGAUGUAUUUGUUUAAGUGGCUAACAUCCAAACGAUUGUUUGAAGGCAUCAGUAAUCUUCAGUGUGGAAUGUUAAAUAACGCUUUUAUACUGUAUUUUGUACUAUGAUGUAACUCCCCUUCCUUAUGGCUAGGCUGCUGUAACACUUGCCUGUAAUCAAUGAAGGGCUGUGCACCUUGUACUAUUUCACAAUGGGUUCUGCUGGACAGAUACUGGGCCAGUGUUAUUGAGGUAAUCAAGCAAGAUCUGUCCCACAGGGCUAAUGCCACCAUCUCCCCUCAAAAUUCUGUAGAGGUUAUAAAAAGAAAGUGGUAUGUUGUGUGAUGAUCAGCACUAAGUCCUGCAUUCCUGUUAAAGCCACUUGGGUCAUAAGAAGGGAGUCAAAAAUGAAGUCUGACUAGAAUUCUAUUGCAGAGGCCAAGUACAUUUAGUAUGGCAUUGAGUUGUGAUAUAGUUUUACUUUGAUGUGCAUUUUGAAUUUCAGCUACACCUAGAUAGACGUAAAAUGAUAAUUAAAAUGCUGUAACCAACUUAUCUAAUAAAACUGGCAAUCAGCCACUAUUUUGUUGACUCUGAGAAAGUUAAAGUUUAUGUUAAUUUUUAGGGUCCGAUAGAAUAUUUCAUGUGUAUUACGGUGGUAUUCAUAUGCUAUGUCUCUAAACUUUAUUUUCAAAAGCUUAAGGCCCAAAUACAAACUUCUCUGGAAUAAA